CCUACGGGCGGCAGCAGUGGGGAAUAUUGCACAAUGGGGGAAACCCUGAUGCAGCGACGCCGCGUGAGUGAAGAAGUAUUUCGGUACGUAAAGCUCUAUCAGCAGGGAAGAAAAAAAGUCCUUUGGACUUUGGACGGUACCUGACCAAGAAGCCUCGGCUAACUACGUGACAGCAGCCGCGGUAAUACGGAGGGGGCAAGCGUUAUCCGGAUUUACGGGGCGUAAGGGGAGCGUAGACGGCAGCGCAAGUCGGGUGUGAAAUGCCGGGGCCCAACCCCGGAACGGCAUUGGAAACUGUGCAGCUGGAGUACAGGAGAGGUAAGCGGAAUUCUUAGUGUAGCGGUGAAAUGCGUAGAUAUUAGGAGGAACACCAGUGGCGAAGGCGGCUUACUGGACUGUAACUGACGUUGAGGCUCGAAAGCGUGGGGAGCAAACAGGAUUAGAUACCCUAGUAGUC
rnacentral:rRNA from 1 species